rnacentral:rRNA from 1 species
UACCUAUAACUGUUGCUUCGGCGGGUAGGGUCUCCGUGACCCUCCCGGCCCCCCGCCCCCGGGCGGGUCGGCGCCCGCCGGAGGAUAACCAAACUCUGAUUUAACGACGUUUCUUCUGAGUGGUACAAGCAAAUAAUCAAAACUUUUAACAACGGAUCUCUUGGUUCUGGCAUCGAUGAAGAACGCAGCGAAAUGCGAUAAGUAAUGUGAAUUGCAGAAUUCAGUGAAUCAUCGAAUCUUUGAACGCACAUUGCGCCCGCCAGCAUUCUGGCGGGCAUGCCUGUUCGAGCGUCAUUUCAACCCUCAAGCUCUGCUUGGUGUUGGGGCCCUACAGCUGAUGUAGGCCCUCAAAGGUAGUGGCGGACCCUCCCGGAGCCUCCUUUGCGUAGUAACUUUACGUCUCGCACUGGGAUCCGGAGGGACUCUUGCCGUAAAACCCCCCAAUUUUCCAAAGGUUGACCUCGGAUCAGGUAGGAAUACCCGCUGAACUUAAGCAU